AGAUGGUCUAGGAAAGAGUAAGACGUGUGUUUAUUUCAGAGAGUAGUGGGUUGCUGCAACACUAUAUCAACACAUGUCCGAAUGGAUCCUAAGGGAGUCACAGGCGCAAGUCGUGACGGUAGAUGAUGCCUUAAAUCAGUCGAGUUGGCGUGUUAUUGAACGCAACUUAGGUGGUACCGCGGAAAAAUUUCGUCCUAUUG
rnacentral:ncRNA from 1 species